GACGAACGCUGGCGGCAUGCCUAACACAUGCAAGUCUAGGGGUAGCAAUACCACUGGCGCACGGGUGAGUAACACGUAGGUUAUCUGCCCCCAUCACAGACAUAACCCCGGGAAACCGGGGCUAAUAUCUGAUGAGGUCGCGAGAUCAAAGCUUCGGCGGAUGGGGAUGAGCCUGCGGCUGAUUAGCUAGUUGGUGAGGUAAUGGCUCACCAAGGCGACGAUCAGUAGCUGGUCUGAGAGGACGAACAGCCACACUGGAACUGAGACACGGUCCAGACUCCUACGGGAGGCAGCAGUGAGGAAUAUUGGUCAAUGGGAGCAAUCCUGAACCAGCAAUGCCGCGUGUGGGAUGACAGGGCUUCGCCUUGUAAACCACUGUCGGACGGGACGAAAGGAGGCCUCGGGCCUCUGGGACGGUACCGUCGAAAGGAAGGGUCGGCUAACUACGUGCCAGCAGCCGCGGUAAU
rnacentral:rRNA from 1 species